AUGGUCCCUACCGCCGGCGCGCGCGCCACCGCCACCACCUCCUGCAGGCGCCAUGGUCCAUGCCGCCGGCACGCGUGCCACCGCCACCACCUCCCACAGCCGCCGCGGCCCCCGCCGCCGGUGUGCGCCCUGCCAUCUCCACCUCCCAGAGCCUCCAUGGCCCUGUCGCCGGGGAGCGCCCCGCCACAACCACUGCCGUUGGACGCCGUCGCCGUGCCCCCCGCACGCCAGUGGCUCCGAGACCUCGUCGGACAUGACCGUGGCAUCCCUGAACUGCCAAGCGCCGCCCAACACCCGGCUUCUUCCCCUGACCACUGUCGGCCUCCUACCCCGGGCAAACCCCUUCUCUUCCUUCCGGGCGCAACCAUGAUCUCCUUUUUAGUUCAAAAUGAGCUCUAG
rnacentral:rRNA from 1 species